AGAGUUUGAUCAUGGCUCAGGAUGAACGCUGGCGGUCUGCUUAACACAUGCAAGUCGAACGGACUCUUCGGAGUUAGUGGCGGACGGGUGAGUAACGCGUGAGAAUCUACCUUCAGGACGGAGACAACAGUUGGAAACGACUGCUAACCCCCGAUGAACCGAAAGGGCAAAUAUUUAUAGCCUGAAGAAGAGCUCGCGUCCGAUUAGCUAGUUGGAGAGGUAAAAGCUCACCAAGGCGACGAUCGGUAGCUGGUCUGAGAGGACGAUCAGCCACACUGGGACUGAGACACGGCCCAGACUCCUACGGGAGGCAGCAGUGGGGAAUUUUCCGCAAUGGGCGAAAGCCUGACGGAGCAAGACCGCGUGGGGGAAGAAGGCUCUUGGGUCGUAAACUCCUUCUCUCUGGGAAGAACAAAAUGACGGUACCAGAGAAUCAGCUUCGACCCCGGG
rnacentral:rRNA from 1 species